rnacentral:rRNA from 1 species
UGGGGAAUAUUGCACAAUGGGCGCAAGCCUGAUGCAGCCAUGCCGCGUGUGUGAAGAAGGCCUUCGGGUUGUAAAGCACUUUCAGCGGGGAGGAAGGCGAUAAGGUUAAUAACCUCAUCGAUUGACGUUACCCGCAGAAGAAGCACCGGCUAACUCCGUGCCAGCAGCCGCGGUAAUACGGAGGGUGCAAGCGUUAAUCGGAAUUACUGGGCGUAAAGCGCACGCAGGCGGUCUGUCAAGUCGGAUGUGAAAUCCCCGGGCUCAACCUGGGAACUGCAUUCGAAACUAGCAGGCUAGAGUCUUGUAGAGGGGGGUAGAAUUCCAGGUGUAGCGGUGAAAUGCGUAGAGAUCUGGAGGAAUACCGGUGGCGAAGGCGGCCCCCUGGACAAAGACUGACGCUCAGGUGCGAAAGCGUGGGGAGCAAACAGG